rnacentral:rRNA from 1 species
GUGUCAGCAGCCGCGGUAAGACGGAGGAUGCAAGUGUUAUCCGGAAUUAUUGGGCGUAAAGCGUCUGUAGGUGGUUUAAAAAGUCUGCGGUUAAAAAUUGAAGCUUAACUUCAAAAAUGCUUCGGAAACUUUUAAACUAGAGUUUGAUAGGGGUAGAGGGAAUUUCCAGUGGAGCGGUGAAAUGCGUAGAUAUUGGAAAGACCACCGAUGGCGAAGGCACUCUACUGGGUCAUUACUGACACUAAGAGACGAAAGCUAGGGGAGCAAAUGGGAUUAGAUACCCCAGUAGUCCUAGCUGUAAACAAUGGAUACUAGAUGUUGUGUGUAUUGACCCAUGCAGUAUCGUAGCUAACGCGUUAAGUAUCCCGCCUGGGAAGUACGCUCGCAAGAGUGAA